rnacentral:rRNA from 2 species
ACGCGUUGGCCCAAUUGAUUGAAGGUGCUUGCACCUGAUUGAUUUUGGUCGCCAACGAGUGGCGGACGGGUGAGUAACACGUAGGUAACCUGCCCAGAAGCGGGGGACAACAUUUGGAAACAGAUGCUAAUACCGCAUAACAACGUUGUUCGCAUGAACAACGCUUAAAAGAUGGCUUCUCGCUAUCACUUCUGGAUGGACCUGCGGUGCAUUAGCUUGUUGGUGGGGUAACGGCCUACCAAGGCGAUGAUGCAUAGCCGAGUUGAGAGACUGAUCGGCCACAAUGGGACUGAGACACGGCCCAUACUCCUACGGGAGGCAGCAGUAGGGAAUCUUCCACAAUGGGCGCAAGCCUGAUGGAGCAACACCGCGUGAGUGAAGAAGGGUUUCGGCUCGUAAAGCUCUGUUGUUAAAGAAGAACACGUAUGAGAGUAACUGUUCAUACGUUGACGGUAUUUAACCAGAAAGUCACGGCUAACUACGUGCCAGCAGCCGCGGUAAUACGUAGGUGGCAAGCGUUAUCCGGAUUUAUUGGGCGUAAAGAGAGUGCAGGCGGUUUUCUAAGUCUGAUGUGAAAGCCUUCGGCUUAACCGGAGAAGUGCAUCGGAAACUGGAUAA